CGCUUGGUGAUUUUAUGCUAAGUCAAUUCUGCUCGGUGAAGGUAUUUUAACAGCAGCGGUAUUUUGACCGUUCAAAGGUAGCAUAAUAAGUUUAGUAAUUGUAAACCUGUCAAUGGGACCAUGGGUUUAUUUAAAUAAAAACUUAAUUAUUAUAGAAAUUAAAAAAAAAGUAAAAACUCUUUUUUUUAUCUAAAAGACGAUAAGACCCUAGAAUUUUUUAUUUUAAUUUAGGUGGGGAAUCUUUGAUUAUUAACAAUCAAUAGUCAAAAUACUCUAGGGAUAACAGCUUUAUUUUAAAGGUUCUUUAAAGUUUGAGACCUCGAUGUUGAAUUAAGAAUAUUGGCUUUUCAAAAGAAAUCUAAUUUAGGUCUGUUCGACCUUAACCUCUU
rnacentral:rRNA from 1 species